UCGGGAAUUUUGGGCAAUGGGCGAAAGCCUGACCCAGCAACGCCGCGUGAGGGACGAAGUAUUUCGGUAUGUAAACCUCGAAAGAAUGGGAAGAAUAAAUGACGGUACCAUUUAUAAGCUCCGGCUAACUACGUGCCAGCAGCCGCGGUAAUACGUAGGGAGCAAGCGUUGUUCGGAUUCACUGGGUUUAAAGGGUGCGUAGGUGGGUAUGUAAGUCAGUGGUGAAAUCCCCGAGCUUAACUUGGGAACUGCCGUUGAUACUAUAUAUCUUGAAUGCCGUAGAGGUAAGCGGAAUAUGUCAUGUAGCGGUGAAAUGCUUAGAGAUGACAUAGAACACCAAUUGCGAAGGCAGCUUACUAUGCGGUGAUUGACACUGAUGCACGAAAGCGUGGGUAGCAAACA
rnacentral:rRNA from 1 species